GAAACCGGAGCUAAUACCGGAUAAUAUUUUGAACCGCAUGGUUCAAAAGUGAAAGACGGUCUUGCUGUCACUUAUAGAUGGAUCCGCGCUGCAUUAGCUAGUUGGUAAGGUAACGGAUUACCAAGGCAACGAUGCAUAGCCGACCUGAGAGGGUGAUCGGCCACACUGGAACUGAGACACGGUCCAG
rnacentral:rRNA from 1 species